rnacentral:rRNA from 1 species
CGAACGCUGGCGGCGUGCCUAAUACAUGCAAGUCGAGCGAACAGACGAGGAGCUUGCUCCUCUGACGUUAGCGGCGGACGGGUGAGUAACACGUGGAUAACCUACCUAUAAGACUGGGAUAACUUCGGGAAACCGGAGCUAAUACCGGAUAAUAUAUUGAACCGCAUGGUUCAAUAGUGAAAGACGGUUUUGCUGUCACUUAUAGAUGGAUCCGCGCCGCAUUAGCUAGUUGGUAAGGUAACGGCUUACCAAGGCGACGAUGCGUAGCCGACCUGAGAGGGUGAUCGGCCACACUGGAACUGAGACACGGUCCAGACUCCUACGGGAGGCAGCAGUAGGGAAUCUUCCGCAAUGGGCGAAAGCCUGACGGAGCAACGCCGCGUGAGUGAUGAAGGUCUUCGGAUCGUAAAACUCUGUUAUUAGGGAAGAACAAAUGUGUAAGUAACUAUGCACGUCUUGACGGUACCUAAUCAGAAAGCCACGGCUAACUACGUG